GAUGAACGCUAGCGGCAGGCCUAAUACAUGCAAGUCGAGGGGCAGCAUAGUAGCAAUACUGAUGGCGACCGGCGCACGGGUGCGUAACGCGUAUGCAACCUACCCAUUACUGAGGGAUAGCCCGGAGAAAUUCGGAUUAAUACCUCAUGGUAUCAAGGACAGGCAUUUGUUUUUGAUUAAAGAUUUAUCGGUAAUGGAUGGGCAUGCGUCAGAUUAGCUAGUUGGCGGGUAACGGCCCACCAAGGCGAUGAUCUGUAGGGGGUCUGAGAGGAUGAUCCCCCACACUGGUACUGAGAUACGGACCAGACUCCUACGGGAGGCAGCAGUAGGGAAUAUUGGUCAAUGGGCGAGAGCCUGAACCAGCCAUGCCGCGUGCAGGAAGAAGGCCCUCUGGGUUGUAAACUGCUUUUGACCAGGGCCAAAAUACUCAUGCGUGAGGAAUUGAGAGUACUGGUAGAAUAAGCACCGGCUAACUCCGUAGCCAGCAG
rnacentral:rRNA from 1 species